AGGAUUAUAAUUUAUAUAAAAUAUUUGAUUUGCAUUCAAAAAAAAUUGAAUAUUCAAUUUAUCUUA
rnacentral:tRNA from 1 species